GAAAGCCGUAUGCUUUGGAAGAAGCUUGUACAGUUUGGGAAGGGGUUUUUUGAGAGAAAAGAAGAAUCUACUUCAC
rfam:Hordeum vulgare subsp. vulgare, WGS project CAJW01000000 data, contig: morex_contig_1528836